rnacentral:rRNA from 1 species
GAUGAACGCUAGCGGCAGGCCUAACACAUGCAAGUCGAGGGGUAGCAGGAUUAAGCUUGCUUAAUUGCUGACGACCGGCGCACGGGUGCGUAACGCGUAUGCAACCUACCUUAUACUGGGGUAUAGCCCGGAGAAAUUCGGAUUAAUCCCCCAUAGUACUAAUGAAUCGCAUGGUUUAUUAGUUAAAGCAUUGCGGUAUAAGAUGGGCAGGCGUCCUAUUAGCUAGAUGGUGAGGUAACGGCGCACCAUGGCUACGAUAGGUAGGGGGACGGAGAGGGUGGUCCCCCACACUGGAACUGAGAAACGGACCAGACUCCUACGGGAGGCAGCAGUGAGGAAUAUUGGUCAAUGGGCGCAAGCCUGAACCAGCCAUGCCGCGUGCAGGAAGAAGGCCCUAUGGGUUGUAAACUGCUUUUAUUUGGGAAUAAACCUCUUUACGUGUAGAGAGCUGAAGGUACCAAAUGAAUAAGCACCGGCUAACUCCGUGCCAGCAGCCGCGGUAA